rnacentral:rRNA from 1 species
UCUCCUACGGGAGGCAGCAGUAGGGAAUCUUCCGCAAUGGACGAAAGUCUGACGGAGCAACGCCGCGUGAACGAUGAAGGCCUUCGGGUCGUAAAGUUCUGUUGUUAGGGAAGAACAAGUACCAGAGUAACUGCUGGUACCUUGACGGUACCUAACCAGAAAGCCACGGCUAACUACGUGCCAGCAGCCGCGGUAAUACGUAGGUGGCAAGCGUUGUCCGGAAUUAUUGGGCGUAAAGCGCGCGCAGGUGGUUUCUUAAGUCUGAUGUGAAAGCCCACGGCUCAACCGUGGAGGGUCAUUGGAAACUGGGGAACUUGAGUGCAGAAGAGGAAAGUGGAAUUCCAAGUGUAGCGGUGAAAUGCGUAGAGAUUUGGAGGAACACCAGUGGCGAAGGCGACUUUCUGGUCUGUAACUGACACUGAGGCGCGAAAGCGUGGGGAGCGAACAGGAUUAGAUACCCUGGUAGUCCACGCCGUAAACGAUGAGUGCUAAGUGUUAGAGGGUUUCCGCCCUUUAGUGCUGCAGCUAACGCAUUAAGCACUCCGCCUGGGGAGUACGGUCGCAAGACUGAAACUCAAAGGAAUUGACGGGGGCCCGCACAAGCGGUGGAGCAUGUGGUUUAAUUCGAAGCAACGCGAAGAACCUUACCAGGUCUUGACAUCCCACUGCCCGGUAUAGAGAUAUACCUUUCCCUUCGGGGACAGUGGUGACAGGUGGUGCAUGGUUGUCGUCAGCUCGUGUCGUGAGAUGUUGGGUUAAGUCCCGCAACGAGCGCAACCCUUGAUCUUAGUUGCCA